CUUUACACAUGCAAGUCGAACGGCAGCACGGGAGCUUGCUCCUGGUGGCGAGUGGCGAACGGGUGAGUAAUACAUAGGAACAUACCCAGUAAUGGGGGAUAACGCCGAGAAAUCGGUGCUAAUACCGCAUACGCCCUACGGGGGAAGGCGGGGGAUCUUCGGACCUCGCGUUAUUGGAUUGGCCUAUGUCUGAUUAGCUAGUUGGUGAGGUAAAGGCUCACCAAGGCGACGAUCAGUAGCUGGUCUGAGAGGAUGAUCAGCCACACUGGAACUGAGACACGGUCCAGACUCCUACGGGAGGCAGCAGUGGGGAAUUUUGGACAAUGGGCGAAAGCCUGAUCCAGCCAUUCCGCGUGAGUGAAGAAGGCCUUCGGGUUGUAAAGCUCUUUCGGCAGGAACGAAAUGGUUGCGGUUAAUAACCGCGACUUCUGACGGUACCUGAAGAAGAAGCACCGGCUAACUACGUGCCAGCAGCCGCGGUAAUACGUAGGGUGCGAGCGUUAAUCGGAAUUACUGGGCGUAAAGCGUGCGCAGGCGGUUUUGUAAGUCAGAUGUGAAAGCCCCGGGCUUAACCUGGGAAUGGCGUUUGAAACUGCAAGGCUAGAGUGUGUCAGA
rnacentral:rRNA from 1 species